rnacentral:rRNA from 1 species
UGACUCUGGGAUAAGCGCUGGAAACGGCGUCUAAUACCGGAUACGAGCUGCGACCGCAUGGUCAGUAGCUGGAAAGAAUUUCGGUCAGGGAUGAGCUCGCGGCCUAUCAGCUUGUUGGUGAGGUAAUGGCUCACCAAGGCGUCGACGGGUAGCCGGCCUGAGAGGGUGACCGGCCACACUGGGACUGAGACACGGCCCAGACUCCUACGGGAGGCAGCAGUGGGGAAUAUUGCACAAUGGGCGCAAGCCUGAUGCAGCAACGCCGCGUGAGGGAUGACGGCCUUCGGGUUGUAAACCUCUUUUAGCAGGGAAGAAGCGAAAGUGACGGUACCUGCAGAAAAAGCGCCGGCUAACUACGUGCCAGCAGCCGCGGUAAUACGUAGGGCGCAAGCGUUAUCCGGAAUUAUUGGGCGUAAAGAGCUCGUAGGCGGUCUGUCGCGUCUGCUGUGAAAACCCGAGGCUCAACCUCGGGCCUGCAGUGGGUACGGGCAGACUAGAGUGCGGUAGGGGAGAUUGGAAUUCCUGGUGUAGCGGUGGAAUGCGCAGAUAUCAGGAGGAACACCGAUGGCGAAGGCAGAUCUCUGGGCCGUAACUGACGCUGAGGAGCGAAAGGGUGGGGAGCAAACAGGCUUAGAUACCCUGGUAGUCCACCCCGUAAACGUUGGGAACUAGUUGUGGGGUCCAUUCCACGGAUUCCGUGACGCAGCUAACGCAUUAAGUUCCCCGCCUGGGGAGUACGGCCGCAAGGCUAAAACUCAAAGGAAUUGACGGGGACCCGCACAAGCGGCGGAGCAUGCGGAUUAAUUCGAUGCAACGCGAAGAACCUUACCAAGGCUUGACAUAUAGAGGAAACGUCUGGAAACAGUCGCCCCGCAAGGUCUCUAUACAGGUGGUGCAUGGUUGUCGUCAGCUCGUGUCGUGAGAUGUUGGGUUAAGUCCCGCAACGAGCGCAACCCUCGUUCUAUGUUGCCAGCACGUAAUGGUGGGAACUCAUGGGAUACUGCCGGGGUCAACUCGGAGGAAGGUGGGGAUGACGUCAAAUCAUCAUGCCCCUUAUGUCUUGGGCUUCACGCAUGCUACAAUGGCCGGUACAAAGGGCUGCAAUACCGUGAGGUGGAGCGAAUCCCAAAAAGCCGGUCCCAGUUCGGAUUGAGGUCUGCAACUCGACCUCAUGAAGUCGGAGUCGCUAGUAAUCGCAGAUCAGCAUCGCUGCGGUGAAUACGUUCCCGGGUCUUGUACACACCGCCCGUCAAG